GGGUGAAGAAGGCCUUCGGGUUGUAAAGCCCUGUCAGGAGUUAUGAAAUGUAAGUGCGCUAAUAUCGUGCUUAUUUGACAAAGGCUCCAAAGGAAGCCACGGCUAACUCUGUGCCAGCAGCCGCGGUAAUACAGAGGUGGCGAGCGUUGUUCGGAAUUAUUGGGCGUAAAGAGCACGUAGGUGGGUUUGCAAGUCAGAUGUGAAAGCCUUCUGUUCAACGGAAGAAUUGCAUCUGAAAUUGCUAAUCUUGAGUAUAGGAGGGGAGAAUGGAACUUCUGGUGGAGCGGUGAAAUGCGUAGAUAUCAGAAGGAACGCCGGCGGCGAAAGCGAUUCUCUGGCCUAUUACUGACACUCAGUGUGCGAAAGCUAGGGGAGCAAACGGGAUUAGAUACCCCGGUAGUCCUAGCCGUAAACGAUGGGCACUAAGUAGAGGGAAUUACCUAUAUUCUCUCUGCCGUAGCUAACGCAUUAAGUGCCCCGMCUGGNGAGUACGGNCGCNAGGCUAAAACUCAAAAGAAUUGACGGNGGCUCGCACAAGCGGUGNAGCAUGUGGCUUAAUUCGAUGCANCGCGAAAAACCUUACCGNNGCUUGACAUGAUAGAAGUAGGAACCU
rnacentral:rRNA from 1 species